rnacentral:rRNA from 1 species
GACGAACGCUGGCGGCGUGCUUAACACAUGCAAGUCGAACGGAAAGGCCCUGCUUUUGUGGGGUGCUCGAGUGGCGAACGGGUGAGUAACACGUGAGUAACCUGCCCUUGACUUUGGGAUAACUUCAGGAAACUGGGGCUAAUACCGGAUAGGAGCUCCUGCUGCAUGGUGGGGGUUGGAAAGUUUCGGCGGUUGGGGAUGGACUCGCGGCUUAUCAGCUUGUUGGUGGGGUAGUGGCUUACCAAGGCUUUGACGGGUAGCCGGCCUGAGAGGGUGACCGGCCACAUUGGGAAUGAGAAACGGCCCAGACUCCUACGGGAGGCAGCAGUGGGGAAUAUUGCACAAUGGGCGGAAGCAGGAUGCAGCAACGCCGCGUGCGGGAUGACGGCCUUCGGGUUGUAAACCGCUUUCGCCUGUGACGAAGCGUGAGUGACGGUAAUGGGUAAAGAAGCACCGGCUAACUACGUG